AAAGUAAAGUGUAAGAGCAACAGCAUUCCUGCACCAGGAAGCAAGGAACAGCUCCCGGGUGUUCAGACCAAAGGGCACAAUCCAUUCUCGUAAGUUACCAAAGAGGGACGGUGACUGGGUUGAAGAACAGAGAUCUGAUUCGCUUUGCUCCUGUCCCCAUGCAAUUUCAGUGAAUCACUAUAGUUACCAGUGUUGUGGGGCAUAAAUAACACUGCCCCCUUCCUCCUCCUGCCAUUUUGCAAUGAAGUUAUCAAAAAUCAGGGGUCUCACUCUGUCACUCAGGCUUGAGUGCAGGGGUCAUGGAUGUCUCUCUGUUCCCCUUCACAGAACAGAUGCAACUUAUGGCUCAUCAGGUGGCUUUUGGUGCAGACAACACUGUCUCCCCAUGUCUGACCUUGAGGCAGGAAGGUCCAGUGAUAAGGAACACUGGCUCUGGAGCUAGACUGCAUCACUUCAAAUCACAGCUCUGCUACUCUGCUACUUAGUAGCUGCAUGGCCUUGGCAAGUUAUUUACCCUCUCCAUGUCCCAGUAUCCUCUUCUGUAAAAUAAACUGGUUUAUGUGAAAUAUA